UACAACAUUUGACUCUUCGUCUUAUUUAAAACUUUUCUAUGAUUAAUAAUAAUAAUAUUAUUAUUAGAUAAUAGAACAUGAAAAGGACUUUAUGCGUGACUAAUAUUUUUAAUUUUUUUAUAUUUUUUUCAAAUAGGACGGGUGGUAAAUGUUGGACA
rfam:Oryza sativa (indica cultivar-group) chromosome 6, whole genome shotgun sequence.